rnacentral:rRNA from 1 species
UACAGAGGGUGCAAGCGUUGUUCGGAAUUAUUGGGCGUAAAGGGCGCGUAGGCGGUGCUGUAAGUCUGUAGUGAAAUCUCUGGGCUCAACUCAGAGUCUGCUAUAGAAACUGCAGUGCUGGGAGUGUGGGAGAGGUGAGUGGAAUUCCCGGUGUAGCGGUGAAAUGCGUAGAUAUCGGGGAGGAACACCUGUGGCGAAAGCGGCUCACUGGACCACAACUGACGCUGAGGCGCGAAAGCUAGGGGAGCAAACAGG